rnacentral:misc_RNA from 1 species
GGUGGCUCCAAUAUUCAAAGGGUAUUCAUUUAUUUAUUUAUGUUUGUUGGAAGAACCUGAAUUUUGUAGAAUUGAGUGGUGGCAAACCAUCCAAUUUCCUAGCUCCAAUUGCUAAUUUGGCUAAGCAAGAAUAGCAUAUGUUCUAUGAUUAUCAUGUUGGUGUACUUUUUGCAAUUUUAGCAACUUACUGCCACCCUUUCUUGGAAAAUCAGGAUAAAG